CGAGUUGGUUAGGCAAUCGCUGGUUUAUUGAAGCCCUCAACCGUUGAAUUGAACGACCUAGGGGACAAGUAAACGAGAGGAAAGUCCGAGCUACAUAGGGCAGAGUGCCAGAUAACGUCUGGGAGGCGUGAGCCUACGACAAGUGCAACAGAGAGCAGACCGCCGAUGGCUAAUUAGCACAGGUAAGGGUGAAAGGGUGUGGUAAGAGCACACCGGGCGACUGGUAACAGUUCGUUGCAAGGUAAACUCCACUCGUAGCAAGACCAAAUAGGGAUCCUUGGUGUGGCCCGCAUCGGAUUCGGGUAGGUUGCUUGAGCGUGUGUGUGAAUACACGCCUAGAGGAAUGAUUGUCCAUGACAGAACUCGGCUUAUCGACCGACUCACUGA
rnacentral:RNase_P_RNA from 1 species